AACGAACGCUGGCGGCAGGCCUAACACAUGCAAGUCGAACGCUCCGCAAGGGGAGUGGCAGACGGGUGAGUAACACGUGGGAAUCUUCCUGUUGGUGCGGAAUAGCUCAGGGAAACUUGGGGUAAUACCGCAUAAGCCCGAGAGGGGAAAGAUUUAUCGCCGACAGAUGAGCCCGCGUCUGAUUAGCUAGUUGGUGAGGUAACGGCUCACCAAGGCGACGAUCAGUAGCUGGUCUGAGAGGAUGACCAGCCACACUGGGACUGAGACACGGCCCAGACUCCUACGGGAGGCAGCAGUGGGGAAUAUUGGACAAUGGGCGCAAGCCUGAUCCAGCCAUGCCGCGUGAGUGGCGAAGGUCUUCGGAUUGUAAAGCUCUUUUGCCAGGGACGAUAAUGACGGUACCUGGAGAAUAAGCCCCGGCUAACUUCGUGCCAGCAGCCGCGGUAACAC
rnacentral:rRNA from 1 species